rnacentral:rRNA from 1 species
UAUCUCUGUAGAGUCUGCAUAUCAAUAAGCGGAGGAAAAGAAACUAACAAGGAUUCCCCUAGUAACGGCGAGUGAAGCGGGAAGAGCUCAAAUUUGAAAUCUUCAAGGUUUGACCCUUGACGAAUUGUAGUUUAAAGAAGUGUUUUCGGUUAGAGGAGUAGUAAAAGUUCUUUGGAAUAGGACAUCAUAGAGGGUGAGAAUCCCGUAUUUGACUAUUCUUUCUAGCUUUGUGAUACACUUUCAAAGAGUCGGAUUGUUUGGGAAUGCAGUCCAAAAUGGGUGGUAAAUUUCAUCUAAAGCUAAAUAUUGGCGAGAGACCGAUAGCGAACAAGUACCGUGAGGGAAAGAUGAAAAGAACUUUGAAAAGAGAGUUAAACAGUACGUGAAAUUGUCAAAAGGGAAGCGUUUGACACCAGUGUUGUUUUUCCGAAAAUCAAUUAAAAAUUGAUUCAUGCCAGGUUGUAUUGACCUUAUCAGCUUGCAAUUUGGUUUUGGGUCUCUUUUUGAUGCACUUUUCGGUUAACAAGUCAACAAUCAAUUUCCUUUGCUGUAAAAAGGUAAGAGGAAGGUGGCUUCAAUUUCGGUUGAAGUGUUUAUAGCCUUUUAUCUCUGCAGUCGGGGAGAUUGAGGUCUGCAGCGUAGAUCCUUCGGGGCUAGAUACAUUUAUGCUAAGUUAUAGCUUUUCAUAGACAACUUGUUGACUAUGUUUAGUCAUGUAGCUUACUCGUAAGUGCUAUUUUACCUACGCUUAGGAUGUUGAAGACUCUACAGAGAUA